rnacentral:rRNA from 1 species
GCACGUGAUAGUUCAUACAUUUGAAAUGUGAGACUGUGGACGGCUCAGUAUAUCAGUUAUAAUCUGCUCGAUUGUAAAGGUUAUUGGAUAACCGUGGGAAAUCUAGAGCUAAUACAUGUGGGGUUUGGCGCAAGCCAAUUGCAUUUAUUAGAACAAUCCAACCGUGCGAGCAAUCGCAUGUGACGAAUCUAGAUAACUGUGCAGAUCGUACGGCCUCGAGCUGACGACGUUUCGAUUGAAUUUCUGCCCUAUCAACUUUGUUGGCAGUGUAGUGGACUGCCAAGGUUUUUACGGGUAACGGGGGAUCAGGGUUCGAUUCCGGAGAGGGAGCCUGAGAAACGGCUACCACAUCCAAGGAAGGCAGCAGGCGCGCAAAUUACCCAAUCCAGACAAUGGGAGGUGGUGACGAAAAGUACCGGAUGGCGAUUUUAUCGCCAGUCUGGAAUGAAAACAAUUUAAGCAAUUGAAUUGAGUAACGACUGGAGGGCAAGUCUGGUGCCAGCAGCCGCGGUAAUUCCAGCUCCAGUAGCGUACUGCAACGUUGCUGCGCUUAAAACGCUCGUAGUUGGAUCACUCACUGUGCUUCGGUGUACAGAUGGCGUGCUCAACGCCCGUCAAACCGAUGAAUCAUCGCGUCACUGACGGGUAGGGUGCGUCGCUGUAAAUUAGCCGUUGUGCAGUAAUUGCACGUGAGGAUGGCCGUUGACCUUUAGUGCGUUGAGGGUUGUGUCUCACGGGGUGUGCCUUGAGUAAAUCAGAGUGCUUAAAGCAGGCUUACGCUUGAAUGUUAUUAGCAUGGAACGAACAAUCGUGUAUGGUGUGUGUUGGGAACGGUAGAGUGCGCUCGCGUAGGCUACUACAACACACGACACCGACCGCCAAUUACGGAUGUUGGUUCCGUAUUGGGGUACUGAUUAAGAGGAGCGGUUGGGGGCAUUGGUAUUUGGCAGCGAGAGGUGAAAUUCUUGGACCUGCCAAGGACUAACAAAUGCGAAGGCAUCUGUCCAGACCGUAUCCAUUAAUCAAGAACGAAAGAGAGAGGUUCGAAGACGAUCAGAUACCGUCCUAGUUCUCUCUGUAAACUAUGCCGACCCGGGAUCAGUUUGGAGCUAUUUAUGCUCGCUCGAGGUUGGUCCCCCUGGGAAACCUAAAGUUUUUCGGUUGCGGGGGGAGUAUGGUCGCAAGGCUGAAACUUAAAGGAAUUGACGGAAGGGCACCACCAGGGGUGGAGCCUGCGGCUUAAUUUGACUCAACACGGGAAAACUUACCUGAUCCGGACAUCUAUAGGAUAAUCAGAUUAAUAGCUCUUAUUUGAUAAGAUGAUUGGUGGUGCAUGGCCGUUCUUAGUUCGUGGAGUGAUCUGUCAGGCCAAUUCCGGUAACGAACGAGACCACAGUCUCCGUUUGACGAGCUGAAGCAGGCGUCGGUGAGAGGCGAAGAGGGCAACCAACGCGUCUCCUGCAGGCGUUGAAGGCAAAAUGGAGGUGGACGAGGGUAGCAAUACCUUUGACUGCUUACAGGCUCCCUUCAGUCUAGCAGUAUGUCCCCGCAAGGGCCAACAUUCUGUAUCACGGAGAGACAACGGAAUAUAUAACAAAAUCCGAGGAAGUGUGGCUAUAACAGGUCUGUGAUGCCCUUAGAUGUUCAGGGCUGCACGCGCGCUACAAUGGCAGUGACAGAAAGUAUCUGGAUCGAAAGAUUCGGGUAAUCUUGCAAUCACUGCCGUGAUGGGGAUUGACGUUUGUAAAUACGUCAUGAAAGAGGAAUCCCUAGUACGUGCGAUUCAUGAAAUCGCGCGGAUUUAGUCCCUGCCCUUUGUACACACCGCCCGUCGCUACUACCGAGCGAAUGGUGUCAUAAUACCUUGGGAGCG